GCGACCCCAGGUCAGGCGGGACUGCCCGCUGAGUUUAAGCAUAUCAAUAAGCGGAGGAAAAGA
rnacentral:rRNA from 1 species